rnacentral:rRNA from 1 species
AUUGAACGCUGGCGGCAGGCCUAACACAUGCAAGUCGAGCGGAUGAAGGGAGCUUGCUCCUGGAUUCAGCGGCGGACGGGUGAGUAAUGCCUAGGAAUCUGCCUGGUAGUGGGGGAUAACGUCCGGAAACGGGCGCUAAUACCGCAUACGUCCUGAGGGAGAAAGUGGGGGAUCUUCGGACCUCACGCUAUCAGAUGAGCCUAGGUCGGAUUAGCUAGUUGGUGGGGUAAAGGCCUACCAAGGCGACGAUCCGUAACUGGUCUGAGAGGAUGAUCAGUCACCCUGGAACUGAGACACGGUCCCGACUCCUACGGGAAGCAGCAGUGGGGAAUAUUGGACAAUGGGCGAAAGCCUGAUCCAGCCAUGCCGCGUGUGUGAAGAAGGUCUUCGGAUUGUAAAGCACUUUAAGUUGGGAGGAAGGGCAGUAAGUUAAUACCUUGCUGUUUUGACGUUACCAACAGAAUAAGCACCGGCUAACUUCGUG